rnacentral:lncRNA from 1 species
UUAGCUUCAAUUUUGCAUCCUCAUGCAUCAAAUUCCUUGAGGGUAGCACCUAUAGGUGAGGAUCACAGAAUGGGCGGUCAUGCAGAUCUCCCUAAUGGUUCAAACCAUGGUGUUCCCUUCCAUCAGUCUCAUUCUUUCCCUGAUCCUAAGAUAAGCCAGUUCAGUGGAACAGUGUCGUCUUUGGGUGCCUCAAAUUCAAACGGUUCUGCUGUUAAAACUCAUCAGUCUCAUUCUUUCCCUGAGCCUAAGAUAAGCCAGUUCGGUGGAACAGUGUCAUCUUUGGGUGCCUCAAAUUCAAAUGGUUCUGCUGUUGAAACACUAUCAGGGCCACAGUUUCUGUGGGGCAGUCCAAA